rnacentral:rRNA from 1 species
AGUGAACGCUGGCGGUAGGCCUAACACAUGCAAGUCGAACGGCCGCACAGUAAGCUCUUGCUCUUACGGGUGGCGAGUGGCGGACGGGUGAGGAAUACAUCGCAAUCUACUUUUUCGUGGGUGAUAACGUAGGGAAACUUACGCUAAUACCGCAUACGUCCUACGGGUGAAAGCAGUGGUUCUUCGGACCUUGCGCGAUUCAAUGAGCCGAUGUCGGAUUAGCUAGUUGGCGGGGUAAAGGCCCACCAAGGCGACGAUCCGUAGCUGGUCUGAGAGGAUGAUCAGCCACACUGGAACUGAGACACGGUCCAGACUCCUACGGGAGGCAGCAGUGGGGAAUAUUGGACAAUGGGCGCAAGCCUGAUCCAGCCAUACCGCGUGGGUGAAGAAGGCCUUCGGGUUGUAAAGCCCUUUUGUUGGGAAAGAAAAGCAGCAGGUUAAUACCCCGCUGUUCUGACGGUACCCAAAGAAUAAGCACCGGCUAACUUCGUG